GACGAACGCUGGCGGCGUGCUUAACACAUGCAAGUCGAGCGGUAAGGCCCUUUCGGGGGUACACGAGCGGCGAACGGGUGAGUAACACGUGGGUGACCUGCCCUCAGCUCUGGGAUAAGCCCGGGAAACUGGGUCUAAUACCGGAUAUGACUCCAUGACGCAUGUUGUGGGGUGGAAAGCCUUGUGCGGCUGAGGAUGGGGCCCGCGGCCUAUCAGCUUGUUGGUGGGGUGAUGGCCACCAAGGCGACGACGGGUAGCCGGCCUGAGAGGGCGACCGGCCACACUGGGACUGAGAUACGGCCCAGACUCCUACGGGAGGCAGCAGUGGGGAAUCUUGCGCAAUGGGCGAAAGCCUGACGCAGCGACGCCGCGUGAGGGAUGACGGCCU
rnacentral:rRNA from 1 species